rnacentral:piRNA from 1 species
AAUGCUAGAAACUGAACGCUGGU